GUGAAUACGUUCCCGGGCCUUGUACACACCGCCCGUCACACCAUGGGAGUGGGUUGCAAAAGAAGUAGGUAGCUUAACCUUCGGGAGGGCGCUUACCACUUUGUGAUUCAUGACUGGGGUGAAGUCGUAACAAGGUAACCGUAGGGGAACCUGCGGUUGGAUCACCUCCUUACCUUAAAGAAGC
rnacentral:rRNA from 3 species